AGCUCUGGACUGUGUUCUGUGACUUUCCACACAGGGUCUGCAGGAUGCCAGGCAGCCUGAACUUAUAGACAAUAUGACCCAAGACGGUCUUUCUUCUCGGGGGCAAGGAGGCUUGUGGCCUGGAAACUAUCCACGGGCCAAAAUGGUGACUCUGACAGUGAGGACUUCAGGCCCUGGCAGAGCUGUCAUGGGAGGAGCAAAACCAGGACAAGAACAGGAUUUGGAUCCAGAUACUGACACACAUACACAAGAUGGAAGCUGAAGCAAUCACAGAAGGCCAACUUUGAUGUAACAGUAGACCCAUUAGGGGCCAUUCUUCUCCAGAUCUUAGUGAGUUCUG